rnacentral:rRNA from 1 species
UACGAAGGGGGCUAGCGUUGCUCGGAAUUACUGGGCGUAAAGGGCGCGUAGGCGGCGGCCCAAGUCAGGCGUGAAAUUCCUGGGCUCAACCUGGGGACUGCGCUUGAUACUGGGUUGCUUGAGGAUGGAAGAGGCUCGUGGAAUUCCCAGUGUAGAGGUGAAAUUCGUAGAUAUUGGGAAGAACACCGGUGGCGAAGGCGGCGAGCUGGUCCAUUACUGACGCUGAGGCGCGACAGCGUGGGGAG